rnacentral:rRNA from 1 species
GAUGAACGCUGGCGGCGUGCCUAAUACAUGCAAGUCGAGCGAACAGACGAGGCGCUUGCUCCUCUGACGUUAGCGGCGGACGGGUGAGUCACACGUGGAUAACCUCCCUAUCAGACUGGUAUAACUUCGGGAAACCGGAGCUAAUCCCGUAUAAUAUCUUGCACCGCAUGGUUCAAUAGUGAAAGACGGUUUUGCUGUCACUUAUAGAUGGAUCCGCGCCGCAUUAGCUGGUUGGUAAGUUAACGGCUUACCAAGGCAACGAUGCGUAGCCGACCUGAGAGGGGGGUCGCCCACCUGGGAACGGGGACACGGUCCAGACGCCUAAGGGAGGCAGCAGUAGGGAAUCUGCCGCAAUGGGGGAAAGCCUGACGGAGCAACGGCGCGUGUGUGGUGGAGGCCUUCGGAGCGUAAAACUCUGUUAUGAGGGAAGAACAAAUGUGUAAGUAAAUAUGGACGUCUUGACGGUACCUAAUCAGAAAGCCACGGCUAACUACGUG